rnacentral:pre_miRNA from 1 species
CAGCUACUCCCUCCGUCCGGAAAUACUUGUCCUAGAAAUGUACAAAAUGGAUGUAUCUAUAACUAAAAUAAAUCUAGAUACAUCUAUUUCUAGGACGAGUAUUUUCGGACGGAGGGAGUAUAUU